rnacentral:tRNA from 1 species
AUUUAAGUAGUUUAAGUUAAAAUGUUGAUUUGUGGGAUCAAUGAUAUAUUAUAUAAUGUCUUAGAUA